rnacentral:rRNA from 1 species
UACGGAAGGUCCAGGCGUUAUCCGGAUUUAUUGGGUUUAAAGGGAGCGUAGGCGGGAUAUUAAGUCAGUUGUGAAAGUUUGAGGCUCAACCUUAAAAUUGCAAUUGAAACUGGUAUUCUUGAGUGCACAUAAAGAUGGUGGAAUUCAUGGUGUAGCGGUGAAAUGCUUAGAUAUCAUGACGAACUCCAAUUGCGAAGGCA